rnacentral:rRNA from 1 species
UACGAAGGGGGCUAGCGUUGCUCGGAAUCACUGGGCGUAAAGCGCACGUAGGCGGCUUUCUAAGUCAGGGGUGAAAUCCUGGAGCUCAACUCCAGAACUGCCUUUGAUACUGGAGAGCUUGAGUCCGGGAGAGGUGAGUGGAACUCCGAGUGUAGAGGUGAAAUUCGUAGAUAUUCGGCAAGAACACCAGUGGCGAAGGCGGCUCACUGGCCCGAUACUGACGCUGAGGCACGAAAGCGUGGGGAGCAAACAGG